rnacentral:misc_RNA from 1 species
AAGGAGCAUCUAGGCCGCCAAGGCAAAGCUUGGUGGUCAGGGCCUUACGUCCGCUACGUCCGGGGUGGUUGCUCAUGGGUGGACGUUGAUUAUUCCGCACCCUUGACCGUCUUCUCUGUCCAACUGUCCUUCGGGGCGUGGAAACCUUAAUGGAAGGGGCAAGGGGGGUCGGGCACCCUGUUGGGGGUCUAAGGGUAUGGCCGUGAGGUUGUGUCUUCAUUGCCGGCCCCAGUGAACUCGCCUGUCAGGGUGGGGUGGUGGGUGGUUGGUCGUUGUUUGAGAACUGCACACUGCACGCGAGCAUCUCUGU